AUACGUAUGGUGCAAGCGUUGCUCGGAAUCACUGGGCGUAAAGGGUGCGUAGGUGGGUAUACAAGUCUGUUGUGAAAUACUGCAGCUCAACUGUGGUGCUACAACGGAAACUGUAUAUCUGGAGUCUCGGAGAGGCAGGUGGAAUUCCCGGUGUAGCGGUGAAAUGCGCAGAUAUCGGGAGGAACACCGAUGGCGAAGGCAGCCUGCUGGACGAAGACUGACACUGAGGCACGAAAGCGUGGGGAGCAAACAGGAUUAGAUACCCUGGUAGUCCACGCCCUAAACGUUGUCGACUAGACGUAGGUGUGUUAUGAUAGCACAUCUGUGUCGAAGCUAACGCGUUAAGUCGACCGCCUGGGGACUACGCUCGCAAGAGUGAA
rnacentral:rRNA from 1 species